UACAAACUCCAUAAAUGAGAGUUUAAGGUUGCAUUAGUUGAUAUGUACAAUAUAUUUAUUCAUAUUUGUUUUUAUAUUGUAGUCUAAAUACAUUCAAUCUCAAGUUUUCUAUAUUCAGUAUGUUAAUAAUGUGAAGUUCAAAGACGAUUAGCACAAUGCUUUACGUCUUACAUUCAGAAAAUUUGUUCAUUGACUGUAUUUAUUUUUUUCUGAUUCAGGAAGUCCUUUUAAAAUUACUGAAUCGUUCUUCAUCUUUAUGUUUUAACACAUUUAACCCUUUCAAGGGUAUUAAUUACAUAUUCAUCACAUAAUGUACCUACUAAACUAAAAGAGUUUCAAUCAUGAGCUGUUAUAGUUAUUUUACUUUUCCAGCCUUUGUGCUUCUGCUUCUGGCAGUUUUUUAAUUCACUCUACCAUAUUGAAAAUAUACAAUUUUACAAACUAUGCACCAUUUAUAACUACAUAUUACCCUUAUAAGAUUUGCAAACCAGGGCAUUAUAGUUUUAUUUAGAGUUUACAGUUAUUACAUGUUAUUAGGGAAUUUAGCUAUAGUUCUGGUCUACUUGAUUAAGCUACCUAAAGGCAUUUAAACAGUGCAAUAUGAUUGUGUGGAAGGCUGUCUUCUUUGCAGGCACGCUGGAUGAUUUACCACACCAAACUCCUUGAGCACAUUUUCUCCUUGACAUCAACUGGUGCGCCAAUCAAAUCCUUCACCCUGCCUGGGAUAUUUGUCAUCCAGCUGCUCCUGGUUGGGCAUAAGCCAUUGACUGAAACCAAUGCGUCAAUGGCCACCACACAGACGUGUCCAGGACCUGGGCUACAGCCGUUCCACCACUGGACAAGAGACAACAUUAGGAUCAUAUUAUAACUUGUCCAAACUACCAAAGCAUGAAAAAUCACCAACGGGUUUCGAAAGGCUGGACUGCUGCGUGAUUAAGGGGACGCUCAAGUGAGAGCAUCAAUGAAGAGGCUGGAGUGAGCGACGAGAUCAUGAGGCUCUUCAAUUCGGACACUAAGAUCAGGACUUUGAUGGUUUCAGUGCACAGGAAGAAGAUGAAAAAGGCGAUCAAUGACUUGUGACCUGGUAGGCUGCAGUUAGGAGAUAUUGGAAUGUUGUUCGAGUACUGUUCAGUAAAAAAGCAUUAGCAACUAAAUUUGUGUAUUAUUGAUAACGUAGGUACAUUUAAAGGUAGCCGUGUUACAGGCACUGUUCGAAAAAAAAAAGCAUUUGCAAUAUGCAUUUGUUUAUAUUACCAUACGGAUUAAGUUAAAAGUAAAAAAUUCCUCACGUGUAAUAUCUUUCUGUGUAAAUCAUAUUACAAUGUGGGACACCCAUGGCUUAACAUCCGGUGCGGCCUGUGCAAGUACAACAUCGGUUUUCUUUCUAAAAUUAGAGCAUUCAGCUUUUAAUCAGGUGCGCUCUGUAGUCCGGAAUUUACGGUAAAUCCAGCAGUUGCUGUUGAACAAAGAGUGACUCCAAAUCCUGCUCUUCUUGCUAUGAGUGGACGAACAAUUGUUUUCUAAAAAAAAAAAACAGGCAGAAAACAAUUAAAAAAUAUUGCAUGUUCAUGUUGAGCAGGUUAAAAAAAAAAAAAACCACAAUAAAAGAAUUUUGGUAAUUAAAGAAAUCCAACAAAUUAUUGUGGUCUAUUAAUACUUUAAACCUUGCAUUUUUGGAUUGUAUGGGGAAAAGUUUGGAUGCUACUGGUUUAAAGGAACAAUAAAGGAAAAAAUAUUUUAUUUUUUAUUACAUUUUUUAAAUAAAUUCUCACACAAAGAAAACACUGAAUUAUGUUUUGUUAAACCUAUGUAAAGUAUUAGAUAUUAUAUAUGCCACAACAUCAAUAAAACUUACAAUUUCAUGUUAAUAAAAGCAUCUAGGCCAAACUCCUAGUUUAAAUGGCUUUAAGUAACAGAUGUUCAGAGCGUGUGCCGAUUGUUUUUCCAUGCUGCUGUAGGUUUUAGCUCUAAAACUAUAUAUUCAACUAGUUACUCAGUUACCUCCUCAUACCUCCAACAACUCUCUGAUGAAAGAGGUUUUACAAU